UACCUCAAGUUGGAGGACACGCAACUUGCCGAGAAGAUUAUGAUGAACAGGUCCUUUGUAAAAAUGUCGGCUAGUUGUGAAGUAGACCCGAACAUACGACAAUGAGAUGAGUUGUUGACGGACGAAGUGACAGUCCAGUUCGACGUGCUUCGUCCGUUCAUGAAAUACCGGAUUCUUCGCAAUGUGAAUGGCUGCAAGAUAUCCGAAUGAAGUGGCACCGGUAUUGAGAGGUCUUUGAACAGACGGACUAACCAGGUACCCUAGUCGAAAUCACAGAAAGCUGUCAGCUUGAAAGAGGAAGAGGAUGGGAAAAAUAGACCAAGACCUGGAUCAUUAGCAAGUAACGCAACACCCGCAAAGCAGCAGUUAAGUGCGACUGACAAGGAUCCUGCAUAAAUUGACUUAGGUGCUGCACAGGCCUCGUAUUAGUCAGGUCUUUAUCAGCUGGAACAUCUAGAGAUCCAUCAAUGAAUCCUAGUUUGUUCUGAGCAAUAAUCACAGCCCUUCUCCAGCCACCAUAGUUUCUACCAUCAAAGACAGUAGAAACAAGGUUCAUGCCUGGGAUAUCUGAAGGAUGAAUGCAGAAAGCAUGUGAAACAUGUACUGAUUUAUUUACAACAGCUACUUCAAAAAUUUCAGUAGUUUGUGAAAGGAGAAUCUGAACAUGAGUCAUUUUUCAAAAAAUGGAAGGAAGAGUGAAGACUAUGGAGAAGAAGAUAGGAUCAUUUUUCAAAGUGAGAGUGAAUAUUGACAUUAUUUCCUAACUUUAUCAUUAUUUUCAUUAAAUUUUGAUGAGGAUGUUUCAGGUGAUUCUACAAACAUGAAGAAAGAAAAAUCAAUGAAGGCUCUGAAAUUGUCUAAUAAAAAAAUAAUCUAUGUAACUAAUACUCAGAAAUCAGAAUUAUUGUUGGUUUCAAA